rnacentral:misc_RNA from 1 species
GUAGGUGAACCUGCGGAAGGAUCAUUACACAGUAUUAUCGGGGGCAAGAUUUCUUGCCCUGUCUGAUUCUACCCAUGUUUUUUGCGUACUUCUGUUUCCUCGGCAGACUUGUCUGUCAGCAGGACUUUAUCAACCCAUUGUCAUAGCAGUCAGCGUCAGAAAAACGUAAUAAUUACAACUUUCAACAACGGAUCUCUUGGUUCUG